UCCCUGGAGGACUAGGGGCUAGGCUACAGUGCUCUCACCACUGCAGCCUGGGUUCGAGUCCCCGCCAGGGAG
rnacentral:tRNA from 1 species